rnacentral:lncRNA from 1 species
CUCGACUGCUGUGCUGCGUGUGACUUGUCUCGGGCUCGUGACGUUGAUGGAUGAGCCGUUUUCAUACUAGAUUUUAAAUUUUGAAAAUGUGCCCACGUUAAUAAAUAAUUCGAUUUUUCACAUUUACAGUUCAGUUUUUGUUCCAAUAUCGUACGCAUGGUUGUGAUUGACGAAAACUUUAGCUUAUUUUGUCACUUUUUUCGUCCAUCACACGUAAACUACAAAAAUGUGAAUCAAUUAGGAAAAGUUUAGUGCUGAAGCAUUUUUAAAAUAAGGCGAAACAAGGUGACAGGCAGCAUACCAUUGUGUAGGUUUUGAAGUUAGCUGGAUAUCUUUUCAGAUGUAUAUUCCUUAGAACUGAAAUUGAGAUGAUGUUGCAUUCCAGUUGAAAAUCAGACAAAUUUUGAAGCUGUAAGAUUACGAAACCAUGCAAUCUACCAUAUCCAGACUUGGGGAUCAAGAGUUUGUGAAAGGUCCCCAAUUGCAGGAAGCCUGUAACUAUCCACACGCGGUCACAGAGGGACUCGCGAUAAGGAGGAACUACUAAACUUUCUACGGCAGUUGUAGACCUCAAGAGUUCCUGGCCUUUUUCAUGAGCCCGACGAUAAAAAGCAGGUCCCCGACUAUUAUCAGUUCAUCAAGGACCCCAUGACUUUGGUGGAGACCGGAUUGCAGAGAGACAUCACCAAUGGCUUUUGGAGUUUAUUACCGAUCAUCGUCAAGAUUUCACUUUUUAUUGAAUAGUAGGCUACGACAAAUGUUGUCCUUCGUGCUUGAUGGUGACCAAGGAGUCGUAUGUCACUUGUGAAUGCCUUCCAUUUAAGUAUAUUUCUUAUUACAUUUUCAGUUUCAACAUGAUCCAAUGAUGAAGAUUCUUAUGAAUUAUUUUAGCAAUUGUCAUUGUAGAGUUCAGACAUCGUAGAUCGUUGUGGACUUGUGGACAAUUUUUAGCUUUCUUCUUCACCUUCUCCUAAUUAAGUAAUUAUUUCUUCAAAUGGGUUAAAUAUGUUGAAUGAAAAAAGUUAAAAUAUUUCUCUCUAAAUGAUUAGAAAUAUAAUUUCUAUCCACUUCCAGUCGAUAGAAGUCGAAACUGUUUUUAUUGAACAAUCCAGUCUCCCCCUUCUUUCUUUAUAGAAAUAUCUUAACAGAGAUGUUAUUUUAUUUUUCUGUAAUAGAGCUACCGUGUUCACUUCUGGUUUCGCCAUCGCAACCGAUAGAAUCGUUGUAGUUCAUUUUUAAAUUUAGAUCUGAUUAAUUAGGGCCUGUGCCACAACCAUCUGGCCACAACGAAGCAUACAACCCCAACCGGGGUCACUAGUCAUACCGGAAUCUCCAAUUGGAGGAAAAUUUCUACGAUAUGUAGAAUUAAAUUUACAUCUGAAUUAAGUUUAUCCAGAUCAAUAAAAAAUCUUUAAUU